AGAUUGAACGCUGGCGGCAUGCCUUACACAUGCAAGUCGAACGGCAGCACGGGAGCAAUCCUGGUGGCGAGUGGCGAACGGGUGAGUAAUACAUCGGAACGUGCCCAAUCGUGGGGGAUAACUACGCGAAAGCGUAGCUAAUACCGCAUACGAUCU
rnacentral:rRNA from 1 species